AACGAACGCUGGCGGCAUGCCUAACACAUGCAAGUCGAACGAAGUCUCCGGACUUAGUGGCGUCCGAGUGCGUAACGCGUGGGAAUCUGCCCUUGGGUACGGCAUAACUCAGAGACAUUUGUGCUUAUACCGUAUAAUGUCUUCGGACCAAUGAUUUAUCGCACCAGGAUGUGCCCGCGUAAGAUUAGCUCGUUGGUGUGUUAAAAGACUACCAAGGCGACGAUCUUUAGCUGGUCAUUGAGGAUGAUCAGCCACACUGGGACUGAGACACGGCCCAGACUCCUACGAGAGGCAGCAGUGGGGAAUAGUGGACAGUGGGCGGAAGGCUGAUCGAGCAAUGACGCGAGAGUGAUGAAAGACGUAGGGUUGUAAAGCGCUUGUACCAGGGAAGAUAAUGACAGUACCUGAAGAAAAAGCGCCGGCUAACUCCGUG
rnacentral:rRNA from 1 species